rnacentral:rRNA from 1 species
AUUGAACGCUGGCGGCAGGCCUAACACAUGUAAGUCGAGCGGGGUUUUCGGACCUAGCGGCGGACGGGUGAGUAAUGCGUAGGAAGCUGCCCGAUAGAGGGGGAUACCAGUUGGAAACGACUGUUAAUACCGCAUAAUGUCUACGGACCAAAGUGUGGGACCUUCGGGCCACAUGCUAUCGGAUGCGCCUACGUGGGAUUAGCUAGUUGGUGAGGUAAUGGCUCACCAAGGCGACGAUCUCUAGCUGGUUUGAGAGGAUGAUCAGCCACACUGGAACUGAGACACGGUCCAGACUCCUACGGGAGGCAGCAGUGGGGGAUAUUGGACAAUGGGCGCAAGCCUGAUCCAGCCAUGCCGCGUGUGUGAAGAAGGCCUUCGGGUUGUAAAGCACUUUCAGCGAGGAGGAAGGGUGGUGUGUUAAUAGCACAUCAUUUUGACGUUACUCGCAGAAGAAGCACCGGCUAACUCUGUGCCAGCCGCCGCGGUAAUAC